rnacentral:rRNA from 1 species
AGUAACGCGUGAGUAACCUGCCUUACACAAGGGGAUAGCCUUUGGAAACGAAGAAUAAUACCCUAUAAAACUAUAAAAGCACAUGCUAGAAUGGUCAAAGUGCUAGCGGUGUAAGAUGGACUUGCGUCUGAUUAGCUAGUUGGUGAGAUAAAAGCUCACCAAGGCAACGAUCAGUAGCCGGCUUGAGAGAGUGUACGGCCACAUUGGGACUGAGACACGGCCCAG